rnacentral:rRNA from 1 species
CCUACGGGUGGCAGCAGUGAGGAAUAUUGGUCAAUGGGCGGGAGCCUGAACCAGCCAAGUCGCGUGAGGGAUGACGGCCCUAUGGGUUGUAAACCUCUUUUGCCGGGGAGCAAAGUGCCGCACGUGUGCGGUUUGGAGAGUACCCGGAGAAAAAGCAUCGGCUAACUCCGUGCCAGCAGCCGCGGUAAUACGGAGGAUGCGAGCGUUAUCCGGAUUUAUUGGGUUUAAAGGGUGCGCAGGCGGAAGAUCAAGUCAGCGGUAAAAUUGAGAGGCUCAACCUCUUCGAGCCGUUGAAACUGGUUUUCUUGAGUGAGUGAGAAGUAUGCGGAAUGCGUGGUGUAGCGGUGAAAUGCAUAGAUAUCACGCAGAACUCCGAUUGCGAAGGCAGCAUACCGGCGCUCAACUGACGCUCAUGCACGAAAGUGUGGGUAUCGAACAGGAUUAGAUACCCUUGUAGUC